rnacentral:rRNA from 1 species
ACCUAGGAAUGCUGAAGGUUAGCUGCCGGAGGACUACGAGCGAGAGCUUAAAAAUCAAAGAACUUGGCAGUCGGUUAUAUUCCUAGCAGGGGAACAUGCGCCUUAAAUCGAUGAUCCACGAUUGACCUUACCCUGUCUUGUAAGUAUCCCGCUGAAAGGCCAGCGCUGGGGCUGAGAGGCCUCCCCGUUGAGCCCUGCGGGUGUUUAGGGGUCAGCCGCCAUACCGCCGUUGGUACUCAUCCGUGUGAGCGCCACCAGAAGAAGGGAGAAAGGCACCCGUACAACACUAGGUGCAGAAGCCUAGGUGGUUGCUGUGGAAAGGUACAGGGCGCCAUAAUGCGUGAGCAUUGUGCCCUGGAACCCUCGGCCUCGAAGACAGGUUUAGGUAGCGCCAAUGACAGAGGGGAGUGUGUGUUACAUUCUUGAGUUUUGUAUGCGGAUCUGGGGGGGCAG